CUGGCCCAGACUGCAGAUGCACACAGUGUCUGGGCUGAGGGACAGGCUGCCUGUACCCUCUGCUCAUUGUGUGCAAGACAUAUGCAAGAGGCAGCUGUAUGCAAAAGGAUAGAGGGGUCCAGACAAUCUAGCAGAUGGAAAAUGUGUAGGCGGCUUUCACUGUCACAUGCUCAAAGGGCUGGGGGUGGGGCACAGAGGAUAUUCUCUUUGGCAGACCGCAGGGAGGCACACAAGGCUGGCAUUCACUCACUGUAAGUCCGGUACAGGAGCUGUGUGCAAAGAAAAUGGCCGCCCUUCUGCCUUUGAAGUGGAGGCUGCCGUCUGUCACCUGCUGCCAAACUGCUUCCGUUCUCAGUAAAUUAUUUUUAAUUGCUCUGUGGAGGGGGGAUGCCUAUCUAGCUUUCUUUUAACAGGAGCGGCGUCUCUCUAACCUCCCUGAACCCCCCUCCCAAGGCCCGUCACCGCAGCCGUGCCAUGGAGAUUGCUGGGGGCCGCUUUUUCUAACUGAUCUCCACUGAGGAAUGCAUUCAAACAAACUGUGCCUGUUUAGAGGCUGUAAACAAAAGCACACGGAACUGUUUAGCGAACAGCCGAUGCGCCCAUUAUUUCGCGCGAUCGCGUCCGGUUUUAUUUGCAGGGAUGUACGCCAGCUUCACGACAGCAAGACACUCAAUACAGGCCGAGGCUCCUACUCGCGAUUAAUUACGUGCUCAGUCUUCUUGUGCGAGUGACUGACAGCAGUCUGCUCGGCAUAAUAAAUAUUUAAUCAUUAUAGUGGGAGGUACCCCGCAAGCUGAACUGUGCUCCAGAAUAUAAUGAUUUUGUACAGUGAGAAACUAAUGUGUAUUUACCGAUAUAAAUCUUGUGAGAUUAAACACAGGCGUAGGCGGA